rnacentral:misc_RNA from 1 species
GAAUGCGAUAAGUAGUGUGAAUUGCAGAAUUCAGUGAAUCAUCGAAUCUUUGAACGCACAUUGCGCCCCUUGGUAUUCCAUGGGGCAUGCCUGUUCGAGCGUCAUUUGUACCCUCAAGCUCUGCUUGGUGUUGGGUGUUUGUCCCCGUCUCCGCGCGUGGACUCGCCCCAAAGUGAUUGGCAGCCGGCGUACUGGUCCCGGAGCGCAGCACAUGUCGCGCAAACGAGUGCCUUGGUACGGCGGCGUCCAUAAGCCCCUCUCUCACGCUCUUGACCUCGGAUCAGGUAGGGAUACCCGCUGAACUUAAGC